rnacentral:rRNA from 1 species
GAAAGUAAGAAAGGGCGCAUGGCGGAUGCCUUGGCUCUCGGAGGCGAUGAAGGACGUGAUAAGCUGCGAUAAGCUGCGGGUAGGUGCAAAUAACCUUUGAUCCGCGGAUUUCCGAAUGGGACAACCCAACCGGUUGAAGGCCGGUUAUCUAUCCAAUGAUAGAGGCUAACGCAGGGAACUGAAACAUCUUAGUACCUGCAGGAAAAGAAAAUAAACAAUGAUUCCCCUAGUAGUGGCGAGCGAACGGGGAUUAGCCCAAACCAUGGAUGUUACGGCAUCCAUGGGGUUGUAGGACCACGAUGUCGCAAGACAUCUGACGAGUAGAACGAUCUGGAAAGUUCGACCAUAGACGGUGACAGUCCGGUACACGAAGUCAGACGAAGCGUAGUGGUAUCCUGAGUAGCGCGGAGCACGAGGAAUUCUGCGUGAACCAGCCGGGACCAUCCGGUAAGGCUAAAUACUCCCGAGAGACCGAUAGCGAACCAGUACUGUGAAGGAAAGGUGAAAAGCACUUCGAAUAGAAGAGUGAAAUAGUCCCUGAAACCGUGCGCCUACAAGCGGUCGGAGCUGUUUUAAACAGUGACGGCGUGCCUUUUGCAUAAUGAACCUACGAGUUACUUUUACUGGCAAGGUUAAGCAUCUUGAGAUGUGUAUCCGAAGCGAAAGCGAGUCUGAACAGGGCGUAUAGUCAGUAGGAGUAGACGCGAAACCAAGUGAUCUACCCUUGGGCAGGUUGAAGGUUAGGUAACACUAACUGGAGGACCGAACCGAUAAGCGUUGAAAAGCUUCCGGAUGACCUGAGGGUGGGGGUGAAAGGCUAAUCAAACUUGGAGAUAGCUCGUACUCCCCGAAAUGCAUUUAGGUGCAGCCUUGUGAGUUACUAAUGUGAGGUAGAGCGACUGAUAAGAUGCGAGGGCUUCGCCGCCUAUCAAGUCUUGAUAAACUCCGAAUGCGCAUUAGUCCUAUCACAGGAGUGAGGGCAUGGGUGCUAAGGUCCAUGUCCGAAAGGAGAAGAAUCCAGACCAUCAGCUAAGGUCCCCAAAUAAAUGCUAAGUUGAACUAACGAAGUCAGAUUGCUAAGACAGCUAGGAUGUUGGCUUGGAAGCAGCCAUUCAUUUAAAGAGUGCGUAACAGCUCACUAGUCGAGGAGUUUGGCGUGGAUAAUAAUCGGGCAUCAAGCAUUUUACCGAAGCUAUGGGAUACGUAAGUAUCGGUAGGGGAGCAUUCCACUCGGCGUCGAAGGUGAAGCGCGAGCUUUGCUGGAGCGUGUGGAAAAGCAAAUGUAGGUAUAAGUAACGAUAAAGGGGGUGGGAAACCCCCUCGCCGAAAGACUAAGGUUUCCUGAUCAACGCUAAUCGGAUCAGGGUUAGUCGGGUCCUAAGGCUCAGCCGAACGGUGAUGCCGAUGGCAGAACAGGUUAAUAUUCCUGUACUACCUUAAGGAGUGACGUGGAGACGGAGUCGUGACAGCGCCGCGGACUGACGGAAUAGUCCGUUGAAGGGUGUAGAUGUUGAUUGCGGCAGGCAAAUCCACCGCAAGAGUCGAACCUGAUAGUAUGGAGCGUUCUUCUGAACAAUCCAAUAGUGCGUGUAAGCAUACUCCCAAGAAAAUCCGCUAAACUUAAUCCUUAAGGUACCCGUACCGUAAACGGACACACGUAGUCGGGUUGAAUAUACUAAGGCGCUUGAGUGAUUCACGGUUAAGGAACUAGGCAAAUUGACCCUGUAACUUCGGGAUAAAGGGUCCCUGCUGAGAGGUAGGGCGCAGAGAAUAGGUCCAGGCAACUGUUUAACAAAAACACAGGGCUGUGCAAAAUUGAAAGAUCACGUAUACAGCCUGACACCUGCCCGGUGCUGGAAGGUUAAGAGGAGAUGUCAUCGCAAGAGAAGCAUUGAAUUGAAGCCCCAGUAAACGGCGGCCGUAACUAUAACGGUCCUAAGGUAGCGAAAUUCCUUGUCGGGUAAGUUCCGACCUGCACGAAUGGUGUAAUGAUCUGGACACUGUCUCAACCG